UCCACGGAUUGAUUUGAUUUUCACUCGUCAAAACUUUGAGAUCAGAUUGGCUUUCAACGUUUGACUUGUCUUCUCCUUAAAAACAUCAAGUCUGGAAAUCAAGAACUUCUUUAUUCAUGAGCAGAAGAUUGGAUAUGUGCAGGAAGGGAAGGAACCAAUUUGUUUCAAGUGCUCUUACAACCCGUGGAGGUUAUUAGAUGUAUCUGCUUCAGAGUUAUAUUUAGAGCUUCUGCAUGCGUCCUCAUCCUUUCAAAAGGCGGCAUUGUUUCCUAGCGUCGCGUGGUGAGAUUAUAAUAUGAUUUUGACAGCAGAGAAAUAGUUUGACAGCUGGCUGAAAGGAUGUGUCUUGUGUUCUCGACGCCUGUCAGAUGGAAGGAACUCCUGGUCUGACCCAGUCUCCAGGACAGGAAAAAGCAGACGGUAUGUCACGAACGGCCUCAGUUGCCUUAGACAGGGAUAAGAUAUGGGCCGGGUUAGGACUACAUUUUCGGGCAGGAAUGUUGUCCCAGGAUCAACAAAAUAUGGCAAAAUCACGGUGACCGGAAGGGCACGCAAAGUGGAUUUGCUUUCACAGCUCAGAAAACAGCGUCUUCUCAACAUGUCGGCAACAUGAACCAAACACUUCCAGGCCUCAGCUACAACUACAGUGUUUGAGGGCGGGUCAAAGAGGGCGGGUCGUUGUUCGUGUACAGCCAAUCAAGACCAUAGACUGGAAGUAAGACUGGAACGAACUACUGACGACUUGUUUUAGAUCAGGACAUACCCUCCACCCACCUGCAUUUUCGAGGAAGAGACUCAUGGGAAGGCUGAAACCUGAUUUAAAGUAAAUGACUGAAAAGCAGUGCCAGACGUCCUCCGUUUUCCACCACGAGCGAGCUUUGAGGAUACGAGUGGCUCAUUGCAUCAAUCAAGGGCAGCAAUUUUUGUCAGAUUUUCAUUUUAUGAAUAUAUGAAUAUAAUCAUCUCCCUGAGAGUCUUUCUGACUUGUAUAAACAGAACACUUUGUGGCCACAGUUGACUGACAGUAGCUAUGAACCUUGUUUGAUCAGUUAGUUCAGGAUGAAGGCUCUUUAGUAAUACUUAACAUGUUUGAAUACAGAAAAAAAGACUGAAUGAAGGAAACAUUGACAAAAUUCACUUCAUAGAAUGUUACUAUGGCAACCAAAAGCUCUCAACAAUGACAGAAUGCAUAGAGAGAAGAGCACUUUAAACUGCAGAAGGGCACUUCUGAUGUCACCGGGAAGUAAUAAAGUGGUUACUGUAAUGAACUCCAGAGGGAAGGUUGAACCGAGAGAAUAAACCCAUAAAUACUUAAUACCUUACAUAGCAUUUGCCAUUUAACCAAAUCUAGUCUUUUUAAAGUGUGUAUCGAACGCGUUCUAAAGCUCAGCAAGGCUAAAAGCCCCUAAAUGAGGAUAUUAAAACUUGGCGGAACAAUAUUGUGUAGCCACGCCCAAUUAAUCUCCACUUUGUUUCAGUUGGACCAAUUUCAUGCUCCUCUGAUCAGACAAAACACUCGCAGACCUGCCACUUUACCAGCCGCUGAGAACCCCGACUAGGCAUCGGUGAUUAGUGAGGCUGCAUUUCCAAGAGUGGAUGUUUUGCUUCCUUCUGAACUGCGCUGUGCGCCAUAUGUUUGCGAGCAACUGGAGCAACGACGCUGACAGGAGGAGUCCAGGUUGUGAGGCCAGAGAAGAUUCCAGAACACACAGCCACUAUGCAAAGGAUAAAGUCAUUAGGUUCAGUUCUCGAGUGUUAAGCCUGAGAAUGAGGUGUUGAAGACUUCAGGAUGUGAAGAUUUUCUCAGAGAUCCUCACAAGUCUGUUAAAGGAUCCUCCCUCAGUAUAACUGAAUGGAGAAAACUCUUGACUGCUCCUGCCCAUCAUGCAUCACUUUGUUCUGCGUGUCUCUAUGGUGGAUUCUGCUGCCUGCUGGAGAACUCCUGCCACAUGUUCUCACACACCGGAGGAUAUUGAGUGGACAGGAAGUGAGGUGGAAGAGAGAGAGGGGGACGGGAUCAGGAAAGGUCCACGAGCUGGGACUCGAACUCAGAAAAAACAGAAGAGACUGCAUGCCAUAAAUCAUAAUUGCACAACCUGGGCUCUGCUACACACUGACUCACAUAAACUAAUUUAUGGACAGACAGAGGACCAAGCCCUUUCUCUUCACUGCAGCGAGUUUGGCGGCAUCCAUGUUUAAUACAGAUUAGUCAUCUCUGGAAACAUCACCCUGCUGAUCUCAAGGCCAUGUGGAGGGGGAGGUGAAGGUGACGCCAG